AGAGUUUGAUCCUGGCUCAGAACGAACGCUGGCGGCGUGCCUAACACAUGCAAGUCGGACGGGAUUAGCUUGUAGCACAAAGGGCUCAUGGUUCAUAGCAUAGAGCAAAAGACCUGAGGAGGUUUUCGCAAAGGGAUGUCAACAAAGAGCUAUGAGCUUUAUGAGCUAUGAGCUAAUUUAGUGGCGGACGGGUGAGUAACACGUAGGAAACCUACCCUUGGGCGGGGGACAACUCCGGGAAACCGGAGCUAAUACCGCAUAAGACCACGGACUGAGAUGUCAGUGGGAAAAGUAGCAAUACACCUGGGGAUGGGCCUGCGGCCUAUCAGGUAGUUGGCGGGGUAAUGGCCCACCAAGCCUAAGACGGGUAGCCGGACUGAGAGGUUGAACGGCCACACUGGAACUGAGAUACGGUCCAGACUCCUACGGGAGGCAGCAGUGGGGAAUCUUGCGCAAUGGGGGAAACCCUGACGCAGCGACGCCGCGUGGAGGAUGAAGGCUUUCGGGUUGUAAACUCCUUUUGUAGGGGAAAAUAAUGAUGUACCCUACGAAUAAG
rnacentral:rRNA from 1 species